rnacentral:rRNA from 1 species
ACAUGCAAGUCGAACGAAGCACUUUAUUUGAUUUCCUUCGGGACUGAUUAUUUUGUGACUGAGUGGCGGACGGGUGAGUAACGCGUGGGUAACCUGCCUUGUACAGGGGGAUAACAGUUGGAAACGGCUGCUAAUACCGCAUAAGCGCACAGCAUCGCAUGAUGCAGUGUGAAAAACUCCGGUGGUAUAAGAUGGACCCGCGUUGGAUUAGCUAGUUGGUGAGGUAACGGCCCACCAAGGCGACGAUCCAUAGCCGACCUGAGAGGGUGACCGGCCACAUUGGGACUGAGACACGGCCCAAACUCCUACGGGAGGCAGCAGUGGGGAAUAUUGCACAAUGGGCGAAAGCCUGAUGCAGCGACGCCGCGUGAGCGAAGAAGUAUUUCGGUAUGUAAAGCUCUAUCAGCAGGGAAGAUAAUGACGGUACCUGACUAAGAAGCACCGGCUAAAUACGUGCCAGCAGCCGCGGUAAUACGUAUGGUGCAAGCGUUAUCCGGAUUUACUGGGUGUAAAGGGAGCGCAGGCGGUGCGGCAAGUCUGAUGUGAAAGCCCGGGGCUCAACCCCGGUACUGCAUUGGAAACUGUCGUACUAGAGUGUCGGAGGGGUAAGCGGAAUUCCUAGUGUAGCGGUGAAAUGCGUAGAUAUUAGGAGGAACACCAGUGGCGAAGGC